UAACUGGGAAGGAUCAUUA
rnacentral:rRNA from 1 species